rnacentral:rRNA from 1 species
AACGAACGCUGGCGGCAUGCCUAACACAUGCAAGUCGAACGAGACCUUCGGGUCUAGUGGCGCACGGGUGCGUAACGCGUGGGAACCUGCCCUUAGGUUCGGAAUAACUCCCCGAAAGGGGUGCUAAUACCGGAUAAUGUCUUCGGAGCAAAGAUUUAUCGCCUUUGGAUGGGCCCGCGUUGGUUUAGCUAGUUGGUAGGGUAAAAGCCUACCAAGGCGACGAUCCAUAGCUGGUCUGAGAGGAUGAUCAGCCACACUGGGACUGAGACACGGCCCAGACUCCUACGGGAGGCAGCAGUGGGGAAUAUUGGACAAUGGGCGAAAGCCUGAUCCAGCAAUGCCGCGUGAGUGAUGAAGGCCUUAGGGUUGUAAAGCUCUUUUACCCGGGAUGAUAAUGACAGUACCGGGAGAAUAAGCUCCGGCUAACUCCGUG